UUAUUGCGAAGAGCUCAGAGGAGCCAGUGUUACUACAGAGAGUUGUUGGAGUUAUUUACUGUUAUUGGAAUCGUCAACCGCGUGGAAGGCUACGUUGGGAAAAGUAUUAUGGACGUCGACUAGUUACCAGGAUCAUUGAAGGAAACUCGUGGAACUUCCCUCUUUUGGAGCAUUCAGGGCAGAUGAUGAGUUUGCUUGCCAGGACGACUAUUUAAUUCAUAUGGCGCGAUAUGGGACCUAUGGGGAUCAGAUAACGCUAUGUGAAGUAGCAAAUUUGUACAACAUCGACAUCCAAAUAGUGUCCUCUCUUGGGGUUCGUGGGCAGCAUGCGUUCAGUCCGUUAGCAAGUGUUUCAGCAGCUACCGUGUAUACCUUGGACAUUUUGCUAAGAACCAUGGCGAACGCUAUGUGAGCUUGGAACAAGUUACGGAUCACAAUGACGGCAGUGAAUAAGACUACGAAGCAAAUGACUCAAGAAAAGGAGAAAUAUUCGAGCAUUAUGCAAAUAAAAUGCAUUUAGAGCAGGAUUUUGAAAUAAAUGAUACUGUUGAUUAUCAGGAUGUCACUGUCGCAAAGAAUGGAGCUGAUGGUAUCGUCGACGAUGGUGGUGACUCGAAUAUGACUGCAGAUAUAGCUAAGGGAUGACAUAUGGUAGUCGAACGAACGAAACGGAACCUGAAUUGCAAAAUGACGUCUACAAAGGCUUAUUCAAUAAUGGUGAUAAGCUAAUAGAUGUUCAGUUUGUUUCAGACGUAGACAUCGACUUAUUUGCGACGAAAGGGGAAGACGAAUCACACAUUGGAAAUCUUCUUCUUUGCAGUUGCAUAAGUGUGAGGUCUGGUGACUAAGAUUAGACACAACUGGGGCGGUGCGUGCUGAGCAUUCUGACUGUACAGCAUAGCUGAACAACAACUAAAACCAGCGGUCAAACGUUGGGCAUGCGCUAAGGAAUCAAUCUGGACACCUACGCACAAAUUCCCCGUGCAAAAUUUUAAACAAUAACAUAAAGAAUCAAUCGCUGUUGCAAAAUAAGGGAAAGAAAAAAGGGAUUAAAGGAAGAAAAAAAAAUAAAAACCGGAGCCUUUUCAAAUGCAAAGCUGAUUCAAGAAGUUAACCACUCUGUUUUGAAGUUAACUUAUUUUGCUUCUGCGCUGCUAAAACACCGUGACGUACUCGCUUGAGUGGUUGUUGAAACUUUUGGACGGUGUCUGCAACGAGGUGGCAAAAAGCGGCGGAAGACAGUCAAAACAAAGAAAGUAUUAAAUGACCCUUAUGGGUUUAUUGUCCUGCAGAGAUAGCUGGCUCUCUUUCUCAACCCUCAAAAUAAACAAGUCAUUCUUGAUUCUUAUAAAAGCGGAAUCUUUUUCUGUCUAACAAUAAAUCCUUCAUUGACUUAGCCAAAAGAACAUAAAAUAUCUCGACGAAGCCUCUUCGGUCAAGAUGGAUUGGUCAAUGUUCUUUUGUUUUGACAUCUGUCAAUUUGAUGCCAAAAAUACAUCAGUAUGAAGGUUUGUAGCCAAUGCUUCUUGGCCUACGUCUCUAGCAAAAAGAAAAAACGCUGAUUGAAAUCAGCGAGCAAGCCUGCAAAACGCCAGUAAUUUUGGCCAGAGGAUUUUCUGAUGCAACAGUUGUUACUUUAAAGACCCAUUGUCACGUACCAUGAUGCAUCGCGCGCGUUUUGUUCUUUCUGGGACCACGAAAGUAGCCAUUAUUGGUUCGAGUCUUAGUGGCGGAUUAAUCCUUUGCCAUCCGAGCAAUCAUUGUAUAUUUCGAUCGAGAUUUAGUUUCAACGCGUAAAUUAGUUGUCUCUUAGUCUGUUUGAGGCGUUACGUUGUGUUAUAUUAGAUCUUAAACCCUGAUUCUAUUCAACAAGUGAUGCCACCAAAACGAAAAGGACGGCUGCCAAGGAAUGAAAGCCGAGUCAAAAUAUGGUUCAGGCAAUCGGUGUAUAAUCUUUGGAAGGAAGGGAAAGAAGCCUUGGGGUUUGGAAACAGGACCAAUCUGCAUCCAGUGUCAGAAAGAGGCGACGGAUUGAAACAAACGACAAUCACUCACCAUCAGUAGUAGCAAUGCGAAGGCCAUUGUUUGCAUCGUUCCGCGGUCAGUGGAGACGAAUCAUGAUAAACAAAGAGCAGUGCAUCACGCUCUGGCAGGUAACUUCCCUUUCACAUUGGAUAUCACAGAUAUGAGGAGCUGCUACUGUCAUUCUCUUGAGAACGAAACCUUUGAGAGCCAUGCCACGAAUGUUAAUUUCUGUCCUGCACUGAUUCUCAGCGGUCACAAGAUACAAAAGUCUGCCAGCGGUCAGGGCAUAUCCAUCACGCGGGAUCGAAAACUCGAAGACGUGCAUCGACAGCGUUGUAGAGACGUGAUUAUUCAUUGUGGAGUAGACUUUCGCUUCGAUUAGGUAAACUCUAAAAUAAUACUCAGACUGUAAAUUAAGGAAGCCAAAACGGUGACAACAAAGCAGUUGAAUACAAAGAGCUUGUUCUCAG
rnacentral:lncRNA from 1 species